GAUGAACGCUGGCGGCGUGCCUAAUACAUGCAAGUCGAGCGAACGGACGAGAAGCUUGCUUCUCUGAUGUUAGCGGCGGACGGGUGAGUAACACGUGGAUAACCUACCUAUAAGACUGGGAUAACUUCGGGAAACCGGAGCUCAUACCGGAUAAUAUUUUGAACCGCAUGGUUCAAAAGUGAAAGACGGUCUUGCUGUCACUUAUAGAUGGAUCCGCGCUGCAUUAGCUAGUUGGUAAGGUAACGGCUUACCAAGGCAACGAUGCAUAGCCGACCUGAGAGGGUGAUCGGCCACACUGGAACUGAGACACGGUCCAGACUCCUACGGGAGGCAGCAGUAGGGAAUCUUCCGCAAUGGGCGAAAGACUGACGGAGCAACGCCGCGUGAGUGAUGAAGGUCUUCGGAUCGUAAAACUCUGUUAUUAGGGAAGAACAUAUGUGUAAGUAACUGUGCACAUCUUGACGGUACCUAAUCAGAAAGCCACGGCUAACUACGUG
rnacentral:rRNA from 1 species